GAAGAAAAAAAUGCUUAUCGUCAGCAGUUACAAAAUAAAAUCAAAAGACAUAAAGCGAAAAAUGAAUCUGAAUUAUAGGAUUUUAAUUAAUCAACCGAUGAUCUUAGUUUCAAACUUUUGCAUAUGAUUGGUUCUAAGUUAGGAAAUGAAUUUCACUCAUCAAUGUUUUUAGGCAUUUCUCUUUUCAACGAAAUAAAUCUCGCAAAUUCGACGUUGAAACUAAUGUAACUCGUUAUCUCAGAAAUUUCCAGUUUUGAUUCAUUGUUCGGCCUCGCUGGAUUCAUGGUGCAUGUCACACACAUAUUCCAGUCAUUUAUGCAGGAUUUUGUUUAAGAUUUUCCCUUUCAUACUCUAUUUCGCUAUAUAGGGUGUUUGUGUUGGUGCUCUAAUAGGUUAUUAAGAACUUUAUCUUUUUCAACUCUAAUAGCUGUUUUUUAAGUUGAUUUUGAAGGUAUUUUCGGAUUAUGAAAAUUUCCCACUGUCUUGUGUUGAUUCCGAUUUUGAUAAACUCAGGCUCUCAUAACAUACAUUGAAACUCUCCAAAUUUAAGACAAUUUACAUAUCAGUAUUGAAGAAUCCACGGAUAAAACAUAUAACUCCUAUAGGACUACAUAAUCAUGUACCAAAAUAACUACAUUUGAAGGUUAGCAAGUGGUGGUGCAUGAACUUGGAGUAUCGUCAAUGGAUGAAUAUUUUAUUAAACUUUCGUUUAGAAGAUUUGCGAACAUCCAUUAAAAUCUACCAGGAUUUCUAAGUGAUGCAGUAAUUUCUAAUGUCAUCUCAACUUUCGAAUAAUAAGGUCCCCAGUUGUUGGUGUAGUGUUGUUCCGGAUAACACGAGGGACUAUGGAUGUUAACAUUCAAUUAUGUCCAACGUAGAUGAAUGAAUUUUCUUGGAAAUCAAGAGAAAAUAUUAUUGCAGCCACCGAAAAAUGUUGUCUUACGGUGGCUGGGAACGUUUGGCUUGCAACAGAUGCAGUAAGAAAGUUUUUGGUGAUGAAGAUGACCACUGUAUACAAAGUGCGAAACCAAAAUUAAGUAACCCAAAGUCAGAGUUUGGAACUAUUGACUGACAGUGGGUGGAAUAUUUUCGUACAGUUUUUUUUUGGUGUUCGUUCUCCAACCUGAUCAGCUAAAAAUAUUACAUUAGUGUAAAUUUUAGCAGUGGGCUUCAUAAUCUAUGUUAUUUCACUUCUUUGGCUAGCAUAUGGGCUUGGGUUCCAUUUCAUCGUAAGGUGAACUUGGAAUAUAUAUGUAGCUAAAGAAAUUCCAUGUUUCACGAUUUAUGAUCUCAAGGCAGUCAAAUAGUUAAA